ensembl:lncRNA novel transcript, antisense to EGFL7 (HSPC324)
AGGCCAAGACUAGACCCUCCCCAAGGGAAGGAGGCCUGGGCUCAGGCCCAGAGUGCCAGCUUUGCCCUAUCCCAUAGCCUGGAGCCACCACAGGAGGGGCACUCCACUCUCUUGGGCUCCUGGAGCCUCAGAGGCAGAGCCAGCCGGGAGUGCAGGAGGGAGAACUUUCCUGUGGACGUCCUGUGUUCUCCAGACGCAGAGAACCCUCAUCAACCGAGGGGGAGGUCACUUCCGAAUCCACAGAUGGCGUGUGAGUGCAUGGCGAGCGCCUCCAGGACACACUUACUGUUCCCUUGCUCUGGCCAGACGCCAGCCGGACCCUGUGUGUGCGCGCCGUGCUGCUCUUUGCAGCUGCCUGCAAGGGGUUCCUGCGAAGACCAGCACCUUGGGGAAGAGCCUGCGGCUGAACUUGAACUCGCAGCUACCUGAGUCAGACCUGUGCUUUUUCACCUCUACGGAAGAUGUCAGAGCGUUUCCCUAGCAAUGUUUUAGAAGUUACUUCUGUCUGGAAAAAAAUGGAAAAAAUGGCAAAUUAUGUUAUGUAUAAUUUGAUAAUUUUAAAGAAUUAAUGAUGUAAUUAUUACUCAAACCCACUGAAUUGUACGUUUUAUUAUUAUUAUUACUAUUUUCUUUUUUUUCUUUCUUUCUGUUUUUUUUCGAGACGGAGUUUCACUCUUUUCGCCCAGGCUGGAGUGAAAUGGUGCAAUCUCAGCUCACCACAAUCUCUACCUCCCGGGUUCAAGUGAUUCUCCUGCCUCAGCCUCCCGAGCAGCUGGGAUUACAGGCAUGCACCACCACGCCCAUUCAAUUUUGUAUUUUUAGUAGAGAUGGGGUUUCUGUAUGUUGGUCAGGAUGGCCUUGAACUCCCAACCUCAGGUGAUUCGUCUGCCUCGGCCUCCCAAAGUGCUGGGAUUACAGGCGUGAGCCACUGCGCCCGCUUAUUAUUAUUAUUUAUUUUAUUUUAUUUUAUUUAUUUGAGACAGAAUCUCCCUCUGUCGCCCAGCCUGGAGUGCAGUGGCGCGAUCUCAACUCACUGCAACCUCUGCUUCCCAGGUUCAAGUGAUUCUCCUGCCUCAGCCUCCCGAGUAGCUGGAAUUACAGGUGCCCAACACCACGCCCGACUAAUUUUUGUAUUUUUAGUAGAGACAGGGUUUCACCAUAUUGGCCAGGCUGGUCUCAAACUCCUGACCUGGUGAUCCACCCGCCUCAGCCUCCCAAAGUGCUGGGAUUACAGGCAUGAGCCACCGAGCCCGGACUGAAUUGUACAUUUUAAAUGGGUGAAUUGUAUGGUAUAUAAAUGAUUUCUUAAUAAAGCUGUUAUUUUUAUUUUA